AUGGUUAAGUUAGAAAGGGCGCUCGGUGUAUGCCUUGGCAAUAGGAUCCGAUGAAGUACGGGACUAACACCGAUAUGCUUCGGGGAGCUGUAAGUGAGCUUUGAUCCGGAGAUUUCCGAAUGGGGAAACCCUCUGUUCGUAAUGGAACAGUAUCU
rnacentral:rRNA from 1 species